rnacentral:rRNA from 1 species
CAAAACGGAGAGUUUGAUCCUGGCUCAGGAUGAACGCUGGCGGUAUGCUUAACACAUGCAAGUCGAACGGUGUCUUC